rnacentral:rRNA from 1 species
AACGAACGCUGGCGGCAUGCCUAACACAUGCAAGUCGAACGAGACCUUCGGGUCUAGUGGCGCACGGGUGCGUAACGCGUGGGAACCUGCCCUUAGGUUCGGAAUAACUCCCCGAAAGGGGUGCUAAUACCGGAUAAUGUCUUCGGACCAAAGAUUUAUCGCCUUUGGAUGGGCCCGCGUUGGAUUAGCUAGUUGGUAGGGUAAAAGCCUACCAAGGCGACGUUCCAUAGCUGGUCUGAGAGGAUGAUCAGCCACACUGGGACUGAGACACGGCCCAGACUCCUACGGGAGGCAGCAGUGGGGAAUAUUGGACAGUGGGCGAAAGCCUGAUCCAGCAAUGCCGCGUGAGUGAUGAAGGCCUUAGGGUUGUAAAGCUCUUUUACCCGGGAUGAUAAUGACAGUACCGGGAGAAUAAGCUCCGGCUAACUCCGUG